CACGUAGGAGGCGAGCGUUGUUCGGAAUUACUGGGCGUAAAGGGCUCGUAGGCGGCCAACUAAGUCCGACGUGAAAUCCCCAGGCUUAACCUGGGAACUGCGUCGGAUACUGGAUGGCUUGAAUUCGGGAGAGGGAUGCAGAAUUCCAGGUGUAGCGGUGAAAUGCGUAGAUAUCUGGAGGAAUACCGGUGGCGAAGGCGGCAUCCUGGACCGACAUUGACGCUGAUGAGCGAAAGCUAGGGGAGCAAACGGG
rnacentral:rRNA from 1 species